rnacentral:rRNA from 1 species
CGAACGCUGGCGGCGUGCUUAACACAUGCAAGUCGAACGGGUCUGCCCUGUUUUUUGCGGGGUGGGUCAGUGGCGAACGGGUGAGUAACACGUGAGUAACCUGCCCCUCACUUCUGGAUAACCGCUUGAAAGGGUGGCUAAUACGGGGUGUUCUGGCUGUGCCGCAUGGUGUGGCUGGGAAAGAUUCACUUUUGUGGUGUUUUGGUGGGGGAUGGGCUCGCGGCCUAUCAGCUUGUUGGUGGGGUGAUGGCCUGCCAAGGCUUUGACGGGUAGCCGGCCUGAGAGGGUGGGCGGUCACUGGGACUGAGAUACGGCCCAGACUCCUGCGGGAGGCAGCAGUGGGGGGUAUUGCACAAUGGGCGGAAGCCUGAUGCAGCGACGUCGCGUGAGGGAUGGAGGCCUUCGGGUUGUGAACCUCUUUCGCCGGUGAAGAAGGUCCUGCUCUUUGUGGUGGGGUUGACGGUAGCCGGGUUAUGAAGCGCCGGCUAACUACGUG